AAUGAACGCUGGCGGCAUGCUUUAUACAUGCAAGUCGAACGAGAACGGGUUUUAGCACGGUUAGUUUUAUUUUAAAAGCUAAGCGUGCUAAGACUGUCAGCUAAGUGGCGCACGGGUGAGUAAUGUAUAGCUAAUCUGCCCCCUAGAAGGGAAUAACCACGGGAAACUGUGGCUAAUACCCUAUACUCCAAUUCAUCAUAAGUUGAAUUGGGAAAGUUUUUUCGCUAGGGGAUGAGGCUAUAUCCUAUCAGCUUGUUGGUGAGGUAAGAGCUCACCAAGGCUAUGACGGGUAGCUGGUUUGAGAGGAUGAUCAGCCACACUGGAACUGAGACACGGUCCAGACUCCUACGGGAGGCAGCAGUAGGGAAUAUUGCACAAUGGGGGAAACCCUGAUGCAGCAAUGCCGCGUGGAGGAUGACGCAUUUAGGUGUGUAAACUCCUUUUAUAUCAGAGAUUAUGACGGUAUGAUAUGAAUAAGGACCGGCUAACUCCG
rnacentral:rRNA from 1 species